UCACCAAAAAUGUAAUCUUGAAUUAAAUCUAACACUUCGGCAGUACCUUCACUGCCCACUAGAUGUCGCUCUGAGGCCAAGCAAUGGUUGAGAAUAGCUGCAAUAUAUGACUAGUAUAACAUUAAUUACAAUUGGACAAUACAACAGUUCAAAAGAUACACAACCAACAUUUAUAUUGUUUUGUUUUGUUCCGUCAUUAAAUCCAGGUGCAAGAAAAAUGUUCUACAAAUGUUCUCAGUACUAACUUGUCCACUUGACCAACAAUCAUGCACAACCAUGAGAGCAACAGUUUGAAAGUUUGCUGUAUAACCUCAAGCUUCUUUACAAUGUCACGUCCCAUCCAGGCUGUGAUUGGUUCCAAAUGACCUGACUUCACCAUCUAUUUUGUGUCAAGUGGCCCAGCAGGAAAAGUCCCGGUGCUCGCGAUGGCCGAGUUAAGCAUCCGAGGCUUCAGCACUUUUAUCUGCUCUCUGACAGACUCUUGAGGCUGAUGUACAGGGAGGUGACCAUGGUGGUCUCCUCCUGGAGGGACUCCUUCAGAUUGGACUGACCCGCACACAUCAGAG